UUCAUGCAUUUUCGUGUAGUGUCUUGAAUGACUGAAAGAGUUCUGCGCAUCAGCUUAAAAAAGAAAAACUAACGAUUCCGGAAAACUCCGGGAAUUGGACCGGAAAAACCUUGACAGCACUGAAAGAUUUUCACACCGAGGCCGACAACAAAGAGAGCGAUAAAGCUCGACAAACUCCAUCAUCCGACCGGACAAAAAUCGGAGCAGUUCCAGCGGAAACAAGGUGAACACUCCGCCGGAACAACCAGCACCACAUCAUCAAGAGUCACAGCAGUAAACAUACUUGGCGGAAGAAAAACAUCGUUCAAAUUGUGUUUUGGUUUUAUUCAAGUGAGCAGAACACACGACUUCCUGGAUCGCACCAAAAGGAAUCUCCGAUGGCCCCUAAAUAUUCUUCCGAGGAGCACCACGGGCUACGAAAUCAGGAGAAUCGGACAGAAGAAAAAGCAAUGCCUUUACGGAAAACCCGAACGUUAGGAAUUCCGUUAAAAAGUGCGGAUAAAAUGGUUUUGUUCAUUCUCCCGAAGUUACCAUCUGUUGACGGUUGCAUUUCGCCGGAUCAGCAGAGUCGGGUAAAAAAGCUCUUACCAUUCAAGGUGGUCAGUGGUUCAAGAGUCCCCGGAAUAAGCUUCAAUGGUUCCGAAGACUAUCGCGUAGUCCACCUUCUGGUAAGCUUCCGACGUUGCGUUGCUUGAUCGACUUUGCCAGAAGCACCUUCAUUGAUACAAAAAGAUGAUGGCAGCAAAACUCUAAAACAAUUUCGAACACUUGCUCGGGGAUAAAUGCUGCAGGGGUUCACUAUGAUCGUUCUGCUAUGUAGCUUUUCUCUGCUCUUCGAGUUUUUUUAAACCAAUCUGAAGCAACAAAAUCAACGGCAGCUGCAGCUCCGCAUCAACUACGCGUCAGGUUUUCCGCAGUCAUCAUAUCUGAUGGU